rnacentral:rRNA from 1 species
GCAACGCCGCGUCCGGGAUGACGGCCUAAGGGUUGUAAACCGCUUUUAGUAGGGAAGAAGGGCUUCGGCUUGACGGUACCUGCAGAAAAAGGACCGGCUAACUACGUGCCAGCAGCCGCGGUAAUACGUAGGGUCCGAGCGUUGUCCGGAAUUAUUGGGCGUAAAGAGCUCGUAGGCGGUUUGUCGCGUCUGCUGUGAAAUCUGGAGGCUCAACCUCCAGCCUGCAGUGGGUACGGGCAGACUAGAGUGCGGUAGGGGAGAAUGGAAUUCCUGGUGUAGCGGUGGAAUGCGCAGAUAUCAGGAGGAACACCGAUGGCGAAGGCAGUUCUCUGGGCCGUAACUGACGCUGAGGAGCGAAAGCGUGGGGAGCGAACAGGAUUAGAUACCCUGGUAGUCCACGCCGUAAACGUUGGGCGCUAGAUGUGGGGACCUUUCCACGGUUUCCGUGUCGUAGCUAACGCAUUAAGCGCCCCGCCUGGGGAGUACGGCCGCAAGGCUAAAACUCAAAGGAAUUGACGGGGGCCCGCACAAGCGGCGGAGCAUGCGGAUUAAUUCGAUGCAACGCGAAGAACCUUACCAAGGCUUGACAUAACCGAGAACGCCCUAGAAAUAGGGAACUCUUU